CCACAACUCCGGCGAGAA
rnacentral:snRNA from 1 species